rnacentral:rRNA from 1 species
AUUGAACGCUGGCGGUAUGCUUAACACAUGCAAGUCGAACGAGUGGCGGACGGGUGAGUAAUGCAUAGGAAUCUACCUUUUAGUCUAGGAUAACUACCCGAAAGGGUGGCUAAUACUGGAUGCUAAGAGAUGAGCCUAUGUGGGAUUAGCUAGUUGGUGGGGUAAUGGCUCACCAAGGCGACGAUCUCUAGCUGGUUUGAGAGGAUGAGCAGCCACACUUGGGAGGGGGCACGGCCCAGACUCCAACGGGAGGCAGCAGUGGGGAAUAUUGGAGAAUGGGCGAAAGCCUGAUCCAGCAAUGCCGCGGUGGGGAAGAAGGCCCUAGGGUUGUAAAGCACUUUUGUUAGGGAGAUGUUACCUAAAGAAUAAGCACCGGCUAACUCCGUGCCAGCCGCCGCGGUAAUAC